rnacentral:lncRNA from 1 species
GACAAUAUAAAAGACAAGGAUUCAAGACCAAAAAAUAGAAUAAGCUUGACGUUAGAAGAAUAACUAGAUACAAGAUAAGGUCUUAAUUAAACCACAAGAAGUGAGUUGUUAAAAUUGAGGAUCUCUUCAGCCUUGACUCUUAUAUAUACUAGGUCCUAAGAAGCUUGUAAACCUAAAAUCCACCACUCUAUGGAUUUAGUACUACACAACGAGCUCAAGAGGUAGAACGAAAGAACUUCCAAUUGUGAAAUUAUUAGGUUAAUUAAAAUGUGGGUGUUUGUAAUUCAAUUAAAAUUAACGCCUUCUAAGCAAUGAUUACUGAUAUUAAAUUAAAAUAUCAGAUGAAAUUCACCAUACAAAAAAAAGAUAAAAGUAAUUAAUUAAGUUUUUCUUAUUAAUUCAUAAUAAGAAUAAAAUCUUAAGUUUAAAUUAAAAGUUAAAAGUUAAUAUUAAAAUUUAAGUUAAAAGUUAAAGUUAAAAGUUAAAGUUAAAAGUUAAAAAUUAAAGUUAAAUAUUAAAUUCAAAAGUUAAAGUUCAAAGUUUAAAAAUUUAAGUGAGAAUAUUAAAGGUUAAAAGUUAAAAGUUAAAAUUCAUUAGUCAAAAGUUGAAAUGUGGAGAUAAUGAGUUACUGUGAAGAUAAAAGUAAAAAUAAAAUAAGAGGGGUAAAAGCGAAGGUACCUUGACAACUCCAAGGAUUGAAUGCAGCGACCCCCUUCUACUCCAAAAUUUGCCAAAAAUUUUAAAUAGCUCCAAAUUGAAUGUUUCACAAGUUUUUGCAAGGUUAACUUAAAGGCGCUCCUGUUCCAACAAAUCUCAUUGCAAUCUAGUCAUCUAAUCGUGAGAAUUGCUCCUUUGAACUUGAGUGAUCCAAACUGCCGCGGCGACCAACCCCCUUCACUUAGAAAUUCACUAAAAAUUCAAAUUGUCUUCAAAUCCAGCGAGACUUGUGUCCUUCAAAACUCAGCUUACAAAUCUUGAUUCUUUCAAAAUUUCAAACGAAUCCAGUUAUCAGGCACUGAGAAAUGCCUUCCCAAACUCGAUUAAUCCAAACUGCAAAGGCAGUCGACCCCCUCACACUCAAAAUUUCACCAAAAAUUCAGUUCAACUCCAAAUGGAGCGAGCCUUACCUUGUUGGAAAUUUAACAACAAAAGCUACAACCACAAAAAAAAUCACCUUGGAACUAAAACAAUUGAAUGACUGAUGGAGGGAAAUCUGAGGCUCUUGAAACCCUUGGAGUAAUUGGGAGGCCAAGAGAGCUAUUCACCACAAUGAAACGUGUUUUAAGACCCAAUGACUAUCAUUCA